GUGUAGGGUAGGGGGACACGGAAAGAUGGGCCAAGACAUUUGGAGCUGAUAUUUGAUAUGGUUUGGCUGUGCCCCCACCCAAAUCUCAUCUUAAAUUGUAAUCCCCAUAAUCCCCACGUGUCGAGGGAGGGACCCGGUGGGAAGUGAUUGGAUCAUGGGGGCAGUUUUCCCCAUGGAAUUCUCGUGAUAGUGAGUGAGUUCUCACGAGAUCUCAUGGUUUUACAAGCGUCUGGUAUUUCACCUGAUUGCACUUCUCUCUUCUGCCUCCUAGUGAAAAAGGUGCCUGCUUCUCCUUCUGCCAUGAUUAUAAGUUUCCUGAGGCUUCCCCAGCCAUGCGUAACUGAGUGAGGACCUAGAAUUUUAAUGUCUAAUAUGCGGUGUGAAUUAAAGAAGCGGCCUUGCUAUGCUGACCUUUUCAAUAUUCUAAUCUUUGCUUUGCUGACCUCUCAGGCCUCUUCCUGGCAACAGUUAGGCUUUUGAGAGGAGAGAGAGCUGAGACUGUUGGCUCCUUCCCAUUUAUGAGAGAGCCACAUGACAUCAGCCCAUAGACUGUGGAGAGUAUUCCAGAUCUAUCACAUUCUGCGAUUCUGCGAUUCCCAGAAGGCUGGUCAUGAAAAAAUUCCCUCUUCAGUUUACAUAUAUGGCAGUGCUCCAGUGCCAUGACAGUUUUAAUCUUCUGGUUCCAUCUGCAUAGAUUUCAGUCUCUAAUUGAGGAAAAUCAUCUGUUUUUCUCAGGAGCCCCUUGAUUCAAGUUUACACAAAAUGUGCCUUUGGAGACUAUCCUGUUAAUUUAAACAGUUCAGAUCCCACUUGUAUGUGAGACAGAUGCUUCUCUGGCCAUCAGCCAGGUACCACUAAAGGAGGUACAGGCCUCUGGGCCAGUGAUGGGAGGGGCUGCCUUGAAGAUGUCUGAAAUGCCCUGGAGACAUCAUCCCCAUCAUCUUGGUGAUUAACAUUCAGCUCCUCUUUACUUAUGGAAAUGUAUUCAGCCACCUUGAGUUGCUCCCC
ensembl:lncRNA LINC00907 long intergenic non-protein coding RNA 907